rnacentral:rRNA from 1 species
GACGAACGCUGGCGGCGUGCUUAACACAUGCAAGUCGAACGGAAAGGCCCUGCUUUUGUGGGGUGCUCGAGUGGCGAACGGGUGAGUAACACGUGAGUAACCUGCCCUUGACUUUGGGAUAAUUUCAGGAAACUGGGGCUAAUACCGGAUAGGAGCUCCUGCUGCAUGGUGGGGGUUGGAAAGUUUCGGCGGUUGGGGAUGGACUCGCGGCUUAUCAGCUUGUUGGUGGGGUAGUGGCCUACCAAGGCUUUGACGGGUAGCCGGCCUGAGAGGGUGACCGGCCACAUUGGGACUGAGAUACGGCCCAGACUCCUACGGGAGACAGCAGUGGGGAAUAUUGCACAAUGGGCGGAAGCCUGAUGCAGCAACGCCGCGUGCGGGAUGACGGCCUUCGGGUUGUAAACCGCUUUCGCCUGUGACGAAGCGUGAGUGACGGUAAUGGGUAAAGAAGCACCGGCUAACUACGUGCCAGCAGCCGCGGUGAUACGUAGGGUGCGAGCGUUGUCCGGAUUUAUUGGGCGUAAAGGGCUCGUAGGUGGUUGAUCGCGUCGGAAGUGUAAUCUUGGGGCUUAACCCUGAGCGUGCUUUCGAUACGGGUUGACUUGAGGAAGGUAGGGGAGAAUGGAAUUCCUGGUGGAGCGGUGGAAUGCGCAGAUAUCAGGAGGAACACCAGUGGCGAAGGCGGUUCUCUGGGCCUUUCCUGACGCUGAGGAGCGAAAGCGUGGGGAGCGAACAGGCUUAGAUACCCUGGUAGUCCACGCUGUAAACGGUGGGUACUAGGUGUGGGGUCCAUUCCACGGGUUCCGUGCCGUAGCUAACGCUUUAAGUACCCCGCCUGGGGAGUACGGCCGCAAGGCUAAAACUCAAAGGAAUUGACGGGGCCCCGCACAAGCGGCGGAGCAUGCGGAUUAAUUCGAUGCAACGCGUAGAACCUUACCUGGGUUUGACAUGGAUCGGGAGCGCUCAGAGAUGGGUGUGCCUCUUUUGGGGUCGGUUCACAGGUGGUGCAUGGCUGUCGUCAGCUCGUGUCGUGAGAUGUUGGGUUAAGUCCCGCAACGAGCGCAACCCUUGUUCACUGUUGCCAGCACGUUAUGGUGGGGACUCAGUGGAGACCGCCGGGGUCAACUCGGAGGAAGGUGGGGAUGACGUCAAGUCAUCAUGCCCCUUAUGUCCAGGGCUUCACGCAUGCUACAAUGGCUGGUACAGAGAGUGGCGAGCCUGUGAGGGUGAGCGAAUCUCGGAAAGCCGGUCUCAGUUCGGAUUGGGGUCUGCAACUCGACCUCAUGAAGUCGGAGUCGCUAGUAAUCGCAGAUCAGCAACGCUGCGGUGAAUACGUUCCCGGG